rnacentral:rRNA from 1 species
UACGUAGGGUGCGAGCGUUGUCCGGAAUUAUUGGGCGUAAAGGGCUCGUAGGCGGUUUGUCGCGUCGGGAGUGAAAACCAGGUGCUUAACACCUGGCUUGCUUUCGAUACGGGCAGACUAGAGGUAUUCAGGGGAGAACGGAAUUCCUGGUGUAGCGGUGGAAUGCGCAGAUAUCAGGAGGAACACCAAUGGCGAAGGCAGCUCUCUGGUACAUGAUUGACGCUGAGACGCGAAAGCGUGGGGAGCGAACAGG